GGAUCGCCCGGCAUUCAUGUCGGGCGCGGAUUGAAAC
rnacentral:other from 18 species